UUAGGCUCAUAAUUGUGGACACACACAGCACUGAGAGAGGCGUUCUUAAAGAUUUCUCAAAGGAGAGGAAGAAGUAAAAAGAAGAUGGUGAAAUAGCUUCCCAAUGAUAAAUCGGAAAAAGUGGAAAACAGCUGGUCCUCAGGAUCCUCCAGCCUUUGCCAAGGAAAAGUGGUUUUAAUCACUGAAGAAUGAGGCUUCAACAUAUGGAAAGACUGUAAGGUGUUCCUGGACAGCAAGUGAGUGACUUGCUCACAGGCGGUAAUUCAGGGACCCAGGUUUCUUCUACCUGGUAGCUCUACUGUCCUUCAGAACCUCAGAGCCCUGUGCAUUCAGCCAGCAGGAGAAAGACCACUACUAAGGUCAUUCACUUUGGGAGAAGCCAGUCUUCAUGCCAUGAGGACGUUCAGGCAGCCCUGUGGAGAGAACCACAUGGAAAGGAUCUGAGGUCUCUCACCAGCACCAAUUUGCCAGCUAUGGGAAUGGGCCACCUUGGAAGGAGACUGUCCAGCCCAAGUGAAGGCUGCAGAUAACUGCAGCUUUGGCCAACAUUUGGCUAUAUUGCUUUGGGAAAUCUCAAGCCAGAACCAUCUGGCCAAGCUGCUCUUAAAUUCCUGAUCCACAGAAGUUUUGGAAGGUAACAAGACACACAAUUCUUACAGAUCCCUCAAGAGCUGUUUGAAAAAUAGUGGAUUUUAAAAUCUAGAAGGAGUGUGAAAGGAACCCAGGGGCUUUGCCAAUGGAGUGUCAUCAUUCAGGCCCCAUUUUGAAUCUAAACCAUCUGAUGAACCCUUUGCUGACACAUCAGCCUAUUGCUUCCUGGAAGAAUAAUUUGCACUUCAAGACUAAUUCUGAAACAAUACAAUUGCAAGGAGGAAACACAUUUGGAGUAGAGAAAUUAUAUAUGUAUAUAAAACUUAUUAUCUAACCAGGACAUAUUUGAGGUGCCAGACUAUGUGAGUGAGUGUGCUUUCACAUGACUUCAAUCCCAGCCGUCUGCAUCCAUCUGAGAGAUCCUGAGCCAAAACCUGCCCAACCAAGUCACUCCUGAG
rnacentral:lncRNA from 10 species